rnacentral:rRNA from 1 species
CAAUAGCGUAUAUUAAAGUUGUUGCAGUUAAAAAGCUCGUAGUUGGAUUUCUGAUCGAGACAUCAGGUCGGGUCCGAGAGGAUCAUGUACUUUGAUUUGUUUUGAUCAUCCUUGGGGAGAGCAUUUCUGGCAUUCAGUUGUCGGGAUUGGGAUCCUCAUCGUCUACUGUGAAAAAAUUAGAGUGUUCAAAGCAGGCCUCGGCCUCUGAAUACAUUAGCAUGGAAUAAUAAGAUAGGACUUUGGUGGUCUAUUUUGUUGGUUUGCACGCCAAAGUAAUGAUUAAUAGGGAUAGUUGGGGGUAUUCGUAUUCAAUUGUCAGAGGUGAAAUUCUUGGAUUUAUGGAAGACGAACUACUGCGAAAGCAUUUACCAAGGAUGUUUUCAUUAA